CCAAGAACUAUUAGUGUCCCAGCAGCCUCUGCUCUGAGUGCUUUGCCUCAGUGUGGGGGACACGACAGGGCAGAACCAUGCAGGGAUUGGACAGGUUAAGGACGAGUACAGGCCUGGGUGGAGGUGUGGAUAGCAGUGGGUGUGGACAGUAGCGUCAGUACAGCAGAGCAAGCUGCCAGCUACCCAGUUGAUAAUAUAGCUUGGACUUAUGCCCGAUUCAACCAUUUCCACAGAACUGUGGGGUGAAGGUGUGUGGAGCCGAAUACCUGGACAGAUUGCAGGCAGUCAUCCCAUUAGACCUGCCAUCAGAGCGCUGCCUGAGAGGAAGCGGAGAACAGAAACCGUUUUA